rnacentral:rRNA from 1 species
CAGUAGCCGCGGUAAUACGAAGGGUGCAAGCGUUACUCGGAAUUACUGGGCGUAAAGCGUGCGUAGGUGGUGUUUAAGUCCGUUGUGAAAGCCCUGGGCUCAACCUGGGAAUUGCAGUGGAUACUGGGUCACUAGAGUGUGGUAGAGGAUAGUGGAAUUUCUGGUGUAGCAGUGAAAUGCGUAGAGAUCGGAAGGAACAUCUGUGGCGAAGGCGACUAUCUGGGCCAACACUGACACUGAGGCACGAAAGCGUGGGGAGCAAACAGGAUUAGAUACCCGUGUAGUCCCUGUCUCUUAUACA